GUGCACGCUGGCGGUAGGCCUAACACAUGCAAGUCGAACGGCAGCACCGUAAGAGCUUGCUCUUACGGGUGGCGAGUGGCGGACGGGUGAGGAAUACAUCGGAAUCUACUUUUUCGUGGGGGAUAACGUAGGGAAACUUACGCUAAUACCGCAUACGACCUACGGGUGAAAGCAGGGGAUCUUCGGACCUUGCGCGAUUGAAUGAGCCGAUGUCGGAUUAGCUAGUUGGCGGGGUAAAGGCCCACCAAGGCGACGAUCCGUAGCUGGUCUGAGAGGAUGAUCAGCCACACUGGAACUGAGACACGGUCCAGACUCCUACGGGAGGCAGCAGUGGGGAAUAUUGGACAAUGGGCGCAAGCCUGAUCCAGCCAUACCGCGCGGGUGAAGAAGGCCUUCGGGUUGUAAAGCCCUUUUGUUGGGAAAGAAAAGCAGCAGGUUAAUACCCCGCUGUUCUGACGGUACCCAAAGAAUAAGCACCGGCUAACUUCGUG
rnacentral:rRNA from 1 species